UAAUCCCGUAUAUCUCUAAGGAUCCCAUGAUCCUUAGAUGAAAGAUGGUUCUGCUAUCGCUUUUAGAUGGACCCGCGGCGUAUUAACUAGUUGGUGGGGUAACGGCCUACCAAGGCGAUGAUACGUAGCCGACCUGAGAGGUUGAUCGGCCACAUUGGGACUGAGACACGGCCCAAACUCCUACGGGAGGCAGCAGUAGGGAAUCUUCCACAAUGGACGCAAGUCUGAUGGAGCAACGCCGCGUGAGUGAAGAAGGUCUUCGGAUCGUAAAACUCUGUUGUUAGAGAAGAACACGAGUGAGAGUAACUGUUCAUUCGAUGACGGUAUCUAACCAGCAAGUCACGGCUAACUACGUGCCAGCAGCCGCGGUAAUACGUAGGUGGCAAGCGUUGUCCGGAUUUAUUGGGCGUAAAGGGAACGCAGGCGGUCUUUUAAGUCUGAUGUGAAAGCCUUCGGCUUAACCGGAG
rnacentral:rRNA from 2 species